GACGAACGCUGGCGGCGUGCCUAAUACAUGCAAGUUGAGCGAUGAAGAUUGGUGCUUGCACCAAUUUGAAGAGCAGCGAACGGGUGAGUAACGCGUGGGGAAUCUGCCUUUGAGCGGGGGACAACAUUUGGAAACGAAUGCUAAUACCGCAUAACAACUUUAAACAUAAGUUUUAAGUUUGAAAGAUGCAAUUGCAUCACUCAAAGAUGAUCCCGCGUUGUAUUAGCUAGUUGGUGAGGUAAAGGCUCACCAAGGCGAUGAUACAUAGCCGACCUGAGAGGGUGAUCGGCCACAUUGGGACUGAGACACGGCCCAAACUCCUACGGGAGGCAGCAGUAGGGAAUCUUCGGCAAUGGACGAAAGUCUGACCGAGCAACGCCGCGUGAGUGAAGAAGGUUUUCGGAUCGUAAAACUCUGUUGGUAGGGAAGAACGUUGGUGAGAGUGGAAAGCUCAUCAAGUGACGGUAACUACCCAGAAAGGGACGGCUAACUACGU
rnacentral:rRNA from 1 species